rnacentral:rRNA from 1 species
UACGUAGGGUGCGAGCGUUGUCCGGAUUUAUUGGGCGUAAAGGGCUCGUAGGCGGCCUGUCGCGUCUGCUGUGAAAACUCGGGGCUUAACUCCGGGCCUGCAGUGGGUACGGGCUGACUAGAGUGCGGUAGGGGAGACUGGAAUUCCUGGUGUAGCGGUGAAAUGCGCAGAUAUCAGGAGGAACACCAAUGGCGAAGGCAGCUCGCUGGGACGUGACUGACGCUGAGACGCGAAAGCGUGGGGAGCAAACAGG